rnacentral:rRNA from 1 species
GACGAACGCUGGCGGCGUGCUUAACGCAUGCAAGUCGUACGGUAAGGCCCUUUCGGGGGUACACGAGUGGCGAACGGGUGAGUAACACGUGAGUAACCUGCCCACAACUUUGGGAUAACGCUAGGAAACUGGUGCUAAUACUGGAUAUGUGCUCCUGCUGCAUGGUGGGGGUUGGAAAGCUCCGGCGGUUGUGGAUGGACUCGCGGCCUAUCAGCUUGUUGGUGGGGUAGUGGCCUACCAAGGCGGCGACGGGUAGCCGGCCUGAGAGGGUGACCGGCCACAUUGGGACUGAGAUACGGCCCAGACUCCUACGGGAGGCAGCAGUGGGGAAUAUUGCACAAUGGGCGCAAGCCUGAUGCAGCAACGCCGCGUGCGGGAUGACGGCCUUCGGGUUGUAAACCGCUUUCAGCAGGGACGAAGCUUUUUGUGACGGUACCUGCAGAAGAAGCACCGGCUAACUACGUG